UUCGAUGCAACGCGAAGAACCUUACCUGGUCUUGACAUCCCGGAGACCCUUAGGAAACUAGGGGGUGCUUCCAUCUGGAAGAAUCUGGAGACAGGUGCUGCAUGGCUGUCGUCAGCUCGUGUCGUGAGAUGUUGGGUUAAGUCCCGCAACGAGCGCAACCCUUGCCUUUAGCUGCCAGCAGUUCGGCUGGGCACUCUAAAGGGACUGCCGGUGUUAAACCGGAGGAAGGUGGGGGAUGACGUCAAGUCCUCAUGGCCUUUAUGACCAGGGCUACACACGUACUACAAUGGCCGAUACAAAGGGCAGCGACACUGCGAGGUGAAGCCAAUCCCGUAAAAUCGGUCUCAGUCCGGAUUGGAGUCUGCAACUCGACUCCAUGAAGUUGGAAUCGCUAGUAAUCGUGGAUCAGCAUGCCACGGUGAAUACGUUCCCGGGCCUU
rnacentral:rRNA from 1 species